AAUGUCUGUUGUCAUUUUCUGGUGUCACAAUCUUGUAAAACUCAAGAUUGUAUGGAAAUCAAGUAAAGAUUGAUGUUCUUGUAUCUUAAUCAAGUAAAUUAAUGCCAAGGCACCAAGCUUCGACUUUGAUAUACUAGUAGUAUUCAUUUGAAUUAUUAUGAUUGUUAUUUGAUUAUUGAGAUGACACUUGCCUAACUUCUAAACAAAGGGAGGAACAAUCAAAGUUUCAAUACGUUUGGUGUAAUUAUAGGGUGACAUUUAAAAUCGACAAAUAUAUAAGAGCUUACUUAAUUAAUUAACAAAGUCGAUUGUCUAAAGAAACUCUUUAUUUACCACACAAAAAAAAAAAAAACAAAAAGUCGAUUGUCAUACAUAAUGUAUCUCUCUUGUGUAUAAAUAAUACUCAACAUGUCAUAUAUGUAAUACUUCUAUGGUAAAACAACAUUGUCAACUUCGAUUGUCAAUAUUUAUCGACGUACAAGUCUACACGAGCGAUGAUAUUGUGAUAGUAAAGGUAAAUACUCCAGUUUAUAAUUCCGUAUGACUUAUUACCGUGAUAAUUAAUCUUGAUAUGUUAUUUUCAUUUAAUUUAGUUUCUAUUUCUUAAGAAUAAAUGCAUGAUAUAAGGACAAGAACACGAGAUAAUUAAAAAACAAAAAAAAAGAACCCAGGGGUAGAAAAGUGAAAGAUAGAAAGUUGUGUCAAAACGAAGGAAACAAUGUAGAAGAAAGAAUAAGGGUAGAGGUUUGGUAGCCAAACAUUGUCUUGAAUCUUGACAAUUUGGAGCAGUUGAUCUUAAUCUUAAUGAGAAGCACGUUUGAUUAUGAUUAUGAAAGUAAAGGCAGCCACGUAGAUGUAUUAAAAUAAAAACAGUUUGGAAAAGUCCCAACGAUUUCUAUCUAAAUUCCAAAUGUUGAUGCUGCUCUUCAAUUUAAUUCUCAACUAAACUUCCUAUAAGCAGUCAGCACAGCAGCCCCUCUUACCCAACGAAGUGGGGUGCAUCAAUACAUUAUUUUAAUACGAGUAUCUUAUCAUUCAAACCAAUUCAUAAACCAUAGUCACAUCUCCUGAUUUAUGUUAGUCGUUUUCAUUCAUUUUGAGACUAAGGCUUAAAAGAAGAAAAAGAAAGAGAGAACAUAAUUAGAGAUACUGGUAACUAAAAUCAUCAUCGACAAACAUGAAGAAAAAAAAACAUUACGAGCAGUGGGGUACAACUUAAAAAAAUAAAGGAAAUAUAUUACUCAAACCUACGAGUAUUAUUUUGUGUUAAUGAAGUUGUUAAACCAUAUAAUAGUGCGUUUUAUCUAAUAAAAUCUAAUGACGUAGUCAAACUAGUAUUACAUAAAGAGAUACACGUCAACAAAUGAAACCAAUUCCAACAGUCCAAGGUCCGCAGAGAAGCAUUUCGUGGUGGGAGGGUUGGGGCUCUUUUGGUUCCUUUUUUUAUUUCUUGACCUUUUCAUUGUAUUUUGUAAUGGGUUAGACUUGGUAAGUUGGUGUUUGUGAGUUGUGAUGAUACGUUGUGGACUUUUUGGAGUAUUCUUAACUAGAAACAGUCUUUUCUUUUCUUUUUAAAUGCCUAAACCAUUAUUUUGAAAAGUAUGCAAAAUUGCCAAGUAUAUUGGACUAAUACGGAGUACUUCAUACUUGUAUUUUAUUUUCUCAUUUUUCUUCCUAAUUUCAUCGACCAAUUUAUCCUUCAUGCCUAAUAAAUCUUGACUUAAGCUACUCUUAAACAUUCUUUAACAAAUUAAAUGAUUUCACUAGAUUGUUUUUUGAUGUGAAAUUCCAAGACGUGUGAGUCACGUGUCACUCGAUUGUGAUUUUUAGGAAGAUAUCGAGUAACAAGCGAUGUAAAUGUGACCCUAAUUUAAGGAAUAUAUAUGGUUUAAAAAUUAGAUAACAUUCAAAUGUAGGUGAGAUAAAUAAAUUUGGUCACAAAAUCUAAGACAUUGAAAAGAAUGAUAAACUUUAAAUCUUAAAAUAUUGUACUAGCUACGUAGUUUAUUGUUUGUGUAUAUAGACGUAUGUGCGCGCGAAUGAAAACAACUGAUAAACUCAUAUUAAAUCUCCCCAAAACAAAAAGAAACUCAUAUUAAACACGGAACUUACUUAUUUGGGAUAAACUUGUAGGCAUUGUUAAAGAAAAUUUAUUAGCAAAUCAUAACGUAGCAAUGGUUUGACAUGUGAUAAUAGUACGUCUAUAUCCUAUGAAUAGAGCACUAGAAGUUUUUUUAAUUUAUUUUAACAUUUGAAGCAGAACACUAGUAGUUUAAAUGAAUUAAACACAUUCGCUACAUACCUUAUAAUAAAACUUUUAUUUUUUUUGCAUGAAUGUAAAUUCCAACUUUCUCGAACUUGUUCAAUAUAACUAGAGCCCUACAGGAGACCGGCUUAGCUAAUUCACUAUAUAUAUUUUCAUGAAUCAUGACCUAAUUGAUUUAUGACUUUUUGCAUCUCAAUUCUCAUGCUGACUACGGAGGGAGUAGUACAUCCGGUUGCCGAAAUUCACAAAUUGUGUUUUUCGGAGUUACAAGAGAUUAAGUGGACAAUCUAAAUUAACAUGGAUUCCAGCACAGUGUGCUCAACAACCGGGAUCACUAGAAUGUGGCUACCACGUUAUGUGUUUUAUGUACGACAUAAUAAUGAAUCAUGGUAAUAGUCAAGAUCUUACUAAGGAUUUUUCAAGAACAUUGCCUUAUUCACCAGAGGAGAUUAAUGAGGUGAAAGAUUUUUGGGCAGAUUACUUCAUGAACAAUGUCGACUUUUAGCUUAAUUUGUAAUAUGAACUCGAUCUCUAGCUAGAUAUCUUUGUUGUAGUAAUUUUAUGUUUGUUGUAACAUGUUGGUUGAUCUAUGACGAAUUUAAUUGCCUUUUAUUGGGAACGUUAAUUA